rnacentral:rRNA from 1 species
CCCUUAGAUGUUCUGGGCAGCACGCGCGCUACAAUGGUCUUCGCAAACGGAUGCAUUCUCGAAGGAGAAUGCCAAUCUUGGAACCUAUGCCUUGGUCGGGACAGUUGCUUGCAAUUUUUCGACUCGAACCAGGAAUUCCUUGUAAUCGUGAUUCAUCACAUCACGAUGAAUACGUCCCUGCCCUUUGUACACACCGCCCGUCGCUCCUACCGAUUGGGUGUGCUGGUGAAAUGUUCGGAUCGGCCGUUUGUCGCGGUUUCCGCGUCAUGUGGCUGAGAAGUUCAUUAAACCCUCCCACCUAGAGGAAGGAGAAGUCGUAACA